rnacentral:rRNA from 1 species
AACGAACGCUGGCGGCAUGCCUAACACAUGCAAGUCGAGCGCGCCCUUCGGGGUGAGCGGCGGACGGGUGAGUAACGCGUGGGAACGUGCCCUUUUCUACGGAAUAGCCUCGGGAAACUGAGAGUAAUACCGUAUACGCCCUUGGGGGGAAAGAUUUAUCGGAAAAGGAUCGGCCCGCGUUGGAUUAGGUAGUUGGUGGGGUAAUGGCCUACCAAGCCGACGAUCCAUAGCUGGUUUGAGAGGAUGAUCAGCCACACUGGGACUGAGACACGGCCCAGACUCCUACGGGAGGCAGCAGUGGGGAAUCUUAGACAAUGGGGGCAACCCUGAUCUAGCCAUGCCGCGUGAGUGAUGAAGGCCUUAGGGUUGUAAAGCUCUUUCAGCUGGGAAGAUAAUGACGGUACCAGCAGAAGAAGCCCCGGCUAACUCCGUG